rnacentral:rRNA from 1 species
AGAGUUUGAUCAUGGCUCAGAUUGAACGCUGGCGGCAUGCUUAAUACAUGCAAGUCGAACGGUAACAGAUUCUUCGGAAUGCUGACGAGUGGCGGACGGGUGAGUAAUACAUAGGAAUCUGCCCAUGUAGUGGGGGACAACUUGGGGAAACUCAAGCUAAUACCGCAUAAUUCCUACGGGAUAAAGAGGGCCACUGCUUGCAAGCUCUUGCUACUGGAUGAGCCUAUGUCGGAUUAGUUAGUUGGUAAGGUAAUGGCUUACCAAGACAGCGAUCCGUAGCUGGUUUGAGAGGAUGAUCAGCCACACUGGGACUGAGACACGGCCCAGACUCCUACGGGAGGCAGCAGUAGGGAGUAUUGGACAAUGGGCGCAAGCCUGAUCCAGCAAUGCCGCGUGUGUGAAGAAGGCCUGCGGGUUGUAAAGCACUUUCAAUUGGGAAGAAAGAUUAUGAGUUAAUACCUUAUAAUAUUGACGUUACCAAUACAAGAAGCACCGGCUAACUCUGUGCCAGCAGCCGCGGUAAUACAGAGGGUGCGAGCGUUAAUCGGAAUUACUGGGCGUAAAGAGUACGUAGGUGGUUAAAUCAGUCGGAUGUGAAAGCCCCAGGCUUAACUUGGGAAUUGCAUUCGAUACUAUUUGACUAGAGUACGGUAGAGAGAAGUGGAAUUCCUAGUGUAGCGGUGAAAUGCGUAGAUAUUAUGAAGAACACC